UACGUAGGUGGCAAGCGUUACUCGGAAUCACUAGGCGUAAAGCGCAGGUAGGCGGUUUGAUAAGUCUGUUGUGAAAGCUCCCGGCUUAACUGGGAGAGGUCAACGGAAACUGUCAGGCUAGAGUGUGGUAGAGGAAGAUGGAAUUCCCGGUGUAGCGGUGAAAUGCGUAGAUAUCGGGAGGAAUACCUAUGGCGAAAGCAGUCUUCUGGACCAUCACUGACGCUGAUCUGCGAAAGCUAGGGGAGCAAACAGG
rnacentral:rRNA from 1 species